rnacentral:lncRNA from 1 species
GCCAUUUUCCUGCCUCAGCCUCCUGAGUAGCUGGGUCUACAGGCGCCCGCCAUCACGCCCGGCUAAUUUUUUGUGCUUUUAAUAGAGAUGGGGUUUCACCGUGUUAGCCAGGAUGGUCUUGAUCUCCUGACCUCAUGAUCCGCCCUCCUCGGCCUCCCAAAGUGCUGGGAUUACAGGUGUGAGUCACCGCGCUCGGCCAGGGCAAAUCUCUUUAACUAUUAUAAUUUUCUCAGUUAUAAUCUUGCCAUGGUGGUUUCAAAAGGUGACUGGAAGAAAGCGGAAGGAAUGCUUGCCUCAUCUUGCAGACAUCAGGUGCAUUCCUGAGAAGCUACAGGUGCACAACCUUAGUCAGGCUCUGGGGAUACAGAAGUAACAAGAAGACCAGACCCUUGUUCCAAUGGAGGAGACAUCCUGUUGGAAGUACCCCAAAGGAAUAUCUAUCUACCCAUCUGUCCUGCCACAAAACAGAUCAUUCUCAACAGCAGUGGAAAUAGAAUCAGCUCCAUUGCCUGGGAAUCAUUCUUGUCAGGAGUGCUUUCGUUCUAACCUAGGUAAAGGAUCCAAACAAGCAGACUACACACAGAAAGAUGACUUCAUUUCUUCACCGAGUGUUUCGUGAGUGUCUGCUGCAUGCUGGACACUAGCAAAGGCAGAAGGAAUUCAACCACAACUGAAAUGAACACCGGGUAUCCAAGGGCAGGAGGAAAAUGCUGGAGAAAGGACCUCAAGUCAAGUGAUGGAUGGCUUCAAGGAAGGCACAACAGAGAGCUGUUGGGGUCCAGGAGAAGAAGUAUGUAAUUCUGUCUGGGUGGAGUGGGCAGAAGCAAACAAACAAACAAAAA